rfam:Lentinula edodes NBRC 111202 DNA, contig: scaffold1396.
GCCUCAAUAGCUUAGUGGUAGAGCACUUGAUACAAAUGCUUCUUGUCAGCUGUCGACAUCAUAUAUUAUCAAUAGGCCAGGGUUUGAAUCCCUGUUGAGGCU